rnacentral:rRNA from 1 species
GCGAGAUGAGUAUUCUAAGGCGCGCGAGAUAACUUUCGUUAAGGAACUCGGCAAAUUAUCCCCGUAACUUCGGAAGAAGGGGAGCCUCUUAGGGUGAUUGCCUUUACGGCAUGAGCUCCGGGGGGCCGCAGAGAAAUGGCCCAGGCGACUGUUUAACAAAAACACAGCACUAUGCAAACCUCUAAGGGGAAGUAUAUGGUGUGACGCCUGCCCAAUGCCAAAAGGUUAAAGGGAUAUGUCAGCCGCAAGGCAAAGCAUUGAACCCAAGCCCUGGUGAAUGGCCGCCGUAACUAUAACGGUGCUAAGGUAGCGAAAUUCCUUGUCGGGUAAGUUCCGACCUGCACGAAUGGUGUAACGAUCUGGGCACUGUCUCAACGAAAGACUCGGUGAAAUUGUAGUAGCAGUGAAGAUGCUGUUUACCCGCAAAAGGACGAAAAGACCCCGUGAACCUUUACUGUACUUUGGUAUUGAUUCUUGAUUUGUUAUGUGUAGCAUAGCCAGGAGACUGAGAACACUCUUCGUCAGGAGAGUGGGAGUCAUCGUUGAAAUACUGGUCUUAACAAGUUGGGAAUCUAACAUAAUUCCAUGAAUCUGGAAUAUGGACAUUGCCAGACGGGCAGUUUUACUGGGGCGGUAUCCUCCUAAAAAGUAACGGAGGAGCCCAAAGCUUAUUUCAUCGUGGUUGGCAAUCACGAGUAGAGCGUAAAGGUAUAAAAUAGGUUGACUGCAAGACCUACAAGUCAAGCAGAGACGAAAGUCGGGCUUAGUGAUCCGGCGGUGGAAAGUGGAAUCGCCGUCGCUUAACGGAUAAAAGGUACUCCGGGGAUAACAGGCUGAUCGCCACCAAGAGUUCAUAUCGACGUGGCGGUUUGGCACCUCGAUGUCGGCUCAUCGCAUCCUGGGGCUGGAGAAGGUCCCAAGGGUUUGGCUGUUCGCCAAUUAAAGCGGUACGCGAGCUGGGUUCAAAACGUCGUGAGACAGUUUGGUCUCUAUCCUUUGUGGGCGCAGGAUACUUGAAAGGAGCUGUUCCUAGUACGAGAGGACCGGAAUGGACGAACCAAUGGUGUGUCGGUUGUUUUGCCAAAAGCAUAGCCGAGUAGCUACGUUCGGAAAGGAUAAGCAUUGAAAGCAUCUAAAUGCCAAGCCUCCCUUAAGAUAA